rnacentral:misc_RNA from 1 species
CCCUAACUCACCUUCUCCCCUAAUUCAUGCAACUUAUUCAAUCUUUCCUUCUAAUGCAUAUAUAAGCAUCCUUUAUCAUUCAUAAACAUAUAUAAACUCAUCAAACACAUCAAACUAGCCACAUACCAAGGCUGGUCGAAAUUUUUAUGUUGUUUCUUCAUGGACAUUUUCUUUGGUUUUUUAAGUAAUUUCCUUAUAAUUCUACUACAUUUCAAAGUUAGAAGGAGAAAGGUAAA